UGGGGAAUAUUGCACAAUGGGCGCAAGCCUGAUGCAGCCAUGCCGCGUGUGUGAAGAAGGCCUUCGGGUUGUAAAGCACUUUCAGCGGGGUGUAAGGCGAUAAGUUUAAUAACCUCAUCGAUUGACGUUACCCGCAGAAGAAGCACCGGCUAACUCCGUGCCAGCAGCCGCGGUAAUACGGAGGGUGCAAGCGUUAAUCGGAAUUACUGGGCGUAAAGCGCACGCAGGCGGUCUGUCAAGUCGGAUGUGAAAUCCCCGGGCUCAACCUGGGAACUGCAUUCGAAACUGGCAGGCUAGAGUCUUGUAGAGGGGGGUAGAAUUCCAGGUGGAGCGGUGAAAUGCGUAGAGAUCUGGAGGAAUACCGGUGGCGAAGGCGGCCCCCUGGACAAAGAAUGACGCUCAGGUGCGAAAGCGUGGGGAGCAAACAGG
rnacentral:rRNA from 1 species